CGCAGGUAGUGGCACCCAAGCGCCCUGUUCCCUCGCUUCUGAUCGCCAUGGCCGAGGCGAGCCGGAGCUCUCCUCCGGCGUACGAGCUCCAAUGCCGGCCCCUUCUUCCUCCACCACCCCAUUCCCGCUGCGAUCCAAGGCUGGAGAUGCCAAGUUCCUCGGCGUCCUCUUCCUCUGCUUCAUCUUCUUCACGGUUCAGAGGAACGCCAAGUUCCUCGUCGUCGUCUUCAUCUUCUUCAUCUACGACAGGUGCUCGUCGCCGGUCAACUUCGUCGCGACCCCUCGUUCCUGAGCUCGAUCGACUCCAGCAGCACCCCCUCUAUGAGCAGCCGCACCUCCUCACCUCUUUCCGCCAUCAUUUCCAUCAUCCUAGUCACUGAUCCGCGCGACCCCGAGUCGUUCCGUCAUGGAUGGGCUCGAGUUCGAGCGUGUGCUUGUGCGCCCCGCUGCACACCGCUCAUGUCCUUGCACGCACACCACUCUCCUCUUCGUCCUUGCACAGAGGCAGGACCCCGCAGCUUGCCUCGUCGUGCUUCGCCGCCAUGGCCUUGAUCUCUGAAUUUUGCGCACGCGAGAACCUACACUCAGCGCCUCCACACAUGCACGCUGCCUCCCGUGAGACACCAACGCGAUGCCCGCGUCUCCCUGUUUCUUGCACCACAUCACUCAUGCGCACACCCCCAGGUCCUCGCCCGCGCUUCCUGCCUUGUCUCGCCUUGCGUGUGGUUUCUUCCCUGCCUUGCCGCGCCAUGCCAUGGCCCGAGCCGAGCAACGCUCGAGCUCGAGCGCCUCUGCACCCCUCCUCAUGGCUGAGCCUCGCAGCAGCCUAUCCCACACACCCGCAGUUGCCUCCUGGACCCCGCCGUUUCACCGUUGCCCGCCGGUGCAGAUCGGUGUCUUCUCUGUUGCAGAGGAGAAGAAACCCCAUCCGUCGUGGGGCUAGUUCAAAGAAAACCGUGCCCAAUCCCUGCAACAGCAGUAGCAGCAGCACAGUGGAUCGAUCAAUGGAGUACUACCAGGGAGACCCCGGUUCGAAUCCCCUUGGGGACAUAUUUAGAACCGCAAUUUUUGCCUCUGUUGCUUCUAUGACAGUGGACCCCAUUUGUCACCCUCUCUGCAGACAUACCCUCUCCGCACCCACACUCCUACCACCUCAGCACCACGGGCCCCCUCGUCAUUGACAGUGGCUGGCCCAGCUCGUGUUCCCUGUCGUUUAAUUUUCUCUUGCAUAUUCACAGAAAUGCCAUUAUUUUGGUUUGUUAAUAACUAAAAAUCCAUGCAUCCAAAUGAAACAUGUAAUAUAUGCAUUUUGCUCAGUUUUCCAUGUAGUUUCACUAUAUCCAGCUUUUAUCCAUGUUUAAAAUGUUUAAAAUUGCUAUUUGAUUAAAUUUGCUCAAAUAACAUGUUAAAAUGGUUUAUUUCAUAACUAAAUAACCGUAGCUCCGAUUUAGAUAAACUUUAUAUGUAAAUGGGGUAGGAUAAUGCAUAGAUUAACUUGAUGCACUUAUUUUUCAUGUUUAACAACUUUAAAAUUGUGUAUAGGGCAGAACAGUAGCAAUUCGAAAUAGGCACAUGGGGAUUUUCCGGAAUUGUUGUUUGUUGUUUCCGGCCUCAUUUAAAAUUGCCUAGAUACGUAGUUUUGUUAUGCUUCACCCCUUGCCAUGUUUAAUAACAUUUAAUAUUGUUGGGUGCAUAAAUGAGAGAGAACUAAAUAAUUGAAUGUGGUGUUUCGUCAAUAUGCAACUCGUUGCCUAUUGAGCUCCACUUAAUUUGUAGUAUUGUUUGUUGCAUUUUCCCAUGCCAUGCCUCAUUUAAACCGGACAUGCAUCAUACUUGACGGUGCAUCAUGCCAUGUUUAUGAUUGUGUGUUUACUAUGUUGUUUGUUUCUUUCCGGGUUGCUUCUCUCGUUAGCUUCGGUUUCUUUCCGGAGUUGUGAGGAUUCGUUCGACUCCGUCUGUUUGUCUUCUUCAUGGACUCGUUCUUCUUCCUAGCGGGAUCUCAGGCAAGAUGACCAUACCCUCGAAAUCACUUCUAUCUUUGCUUGCUAGUUGUUCGCUCUAUUGCUAUGUCGCUCUACCUACCACUUGCUUAUCAAGCCUCCCAAAUUGCCAUGAACCUCUAACAUUUGUCACCCUUCCUAGCAAACCGUUGUGUGGCUAUGUUACCGCUUUUGCUCAGCCCCUCUUAUAGCGUUGCUAGUUGCAGGUGAAGAUGAAGUUUGUUCCAUGUUGGAACAUGGAUAUUUUGGGAAUAUCACAAUAUCUCUUAUUCAAUUAAUGCAUCUAUAUACUUGGUAAAGGGUGGAAGGCUCGGCCUUAUGCCCGGUGUUUUGUUCCACUCUUGCCGCCCUAGUUUCCGUCAUACCGAUGUUAUGUUCCUUGAUUUUGCAUUCCUUACGCGGUUGGGUGAUUUAUGGGACCCCCUUGACAGUUCGCUUUGAAUAAAACUCCUCCAGCAAGGCCCAACCUUGGUUUUACAUUUGCAUCACCUAGCCUUUUUCCCUUGGGAGUCGCGCUCCCGAGGGUCAUCUUAUUUUACCCCCCCGGGCCAGUGCUCCUCGGAGUGUUGGUCCAAACUAGAGCCACUUGCAGCGCCACCUCGGGGAAACUUGAGGGCUCGUUUUAGUUGUACGUAGUGUUCAUCCGGUGUGUCCUGAGAAUGAGGUACGUGCGACUCCUAUCGGGAUUGUCGACACAUCGGGCGGCUUUGCUGGUUUUGUUUUACCAUUGUCGAAAUGUCUUGUAACCGGGAUUCCGAGACUGAUCGGGUCUUCCCGGGAGAAGGAAUAUCCUUCGUUGACCGUGAGAGCUUAUAAUGGGCUAAGUUGGGACACCCCUGCAGGGUAUUAUCUUUCGAAAGCCGUGCCCGCGGUUAUGUGGCAGAUGGGAAUUUGUUAAUAUCCGGUUGUAGAGAACUUGACACUUGACUUAAUUAAAAUACAUCAACCGCGUGUGUAGCCGUGAUGGUCUCUUCUUGGCGGAGUCCGGGAAGUGAACACGGCUUUUGGGUUAUGUUUGACGUAAGUAGGAGUUCAGGAUCACUUCUUGACCAUUGCUAGUUCACGACCGUUCCUUUGCUUCUCUUCUCGCUCUCAUUUGCGUAUGUUAGCCACCAUAUAUGCUAGUGCUUGCUGCAGCUUCACCUCAUUACCCCAUCCUUUCCUAUAAGCUUAAAUAGUCUUGAUCUCGCAGGUGUGAGAUUGCUGAGUCCUCGUGACUCACAGAUACUUCCAAAACAGUUGCAGGUGCCGAUGAUACCAGUGCAGGUGACGCAACCGAGCUCAAGUGGGAGCUCGAUGAAGAUCUUGUUCGUUGUGUUUUUCUGUUCAUGUUGAUCAGUAGUGGUGCCCAGUUGGGACGAUCGGGGAUCUAGCAUUUGGGGUUGUCUUCUUUUAUUUUGGUUCCGUAGUCGGACCUAUGUGUGUACUCUGAUUGAUGUAUGAUUUAUUUAUGUAUUGUGUGAAGUGGCGAUUGUAAGCCAACUCUUUAUCCCAUUCUUGUUCAUUACAUGGGAUUGUGUGAAGAUGACCCUUCUUGCGACAAAACCACAAUGCGGUUAUGCCUCUAAGUCGUGCCUCGACACGUGGGAGAUAUAGCCGCAUCGUGGGCGUUACAAGUUGGUAAUCAGAGCCUUCCCCGAUUUAGGAGCCCCCUGCUUGAUCGAAUCGCUGACGUUGUUGAGUCUAGAACAAAAAUGUUUUGAGUCUUAGGAUUAUAUAUAUCGGAGAGUAGGAUUCUUUUUACUCCUCAGUCCCUUCGUCGCUCUGGUGAGGUCUCCUGGCGUAGAAGUUUUGACUUUCCUCUCCUCGAAUUUCACUAAAAAAAAAUUUAGGAUCACGCGGGUAUCUUGGAAUCGUUUCGAUGGUUUUGUGAUGAGAACAUUGUUCUUGGUGCCUCCUGACAUUUAGGGGUUGUGGCAGUGUCCCGGGGAGUUGAGCUCCGAGGUGUUGUCGUCACAAUUUUAUCGUUGCAGUUCUGGAAUACCUGAGUUUCGCCGACAUCGAAAAUCUCUUUUAUGCAGUUGUUGGUGAGAUCACCUCGACGCCACCCAGUACUGGGGCGCGAGUUCGGGAGUAUUGCCAUAACUCGUAUAACGGAUGCUUUUCGAAGGUUGAGGUACACGAUUUCCGAAGGUUUCUUGGUUAUGUGUUGACGGAUGGAUACAGCUGGAUCUAGGGAUUGUUAGUUUGGGUGAUAUAUUUUGUGUCCCCUGUAUCCCCAACACCUGAUUGCAUAACCAGAAAGUUUCGGGAGUUUAUAAGUGGGAAUUCAAGUAUCUCGUAGGAUAUCUUUCCAACACACACAUGAUACGAUAUGGGAUCUAUCAUAUGUUUGUUUCCGGCUUAUUCUGCAAGCCAAUCCUUUGUUUUGUUUUAAGUUGUGGUAUUCGAGUUGCUUCAUUGUCAGGUGUUGAUUACAUACCUUUUCCAAGUGGUGUUCUCAUGUUUCUAUGGGAGUGUUAAUCCUUCUUGGUCAUCAAGAGUGUCAUCCCAAUUCUAUUUCCAACCGGUGUGCUUCUCUUCAAGUGGAUCCGAUCAUUUACAACAUCCGCAAGAUCAACUCUAAGUUUUCUCAACGGUGUUUGUUUCAUCCGUCCCAAGGUGCCUUUGUUUUUCCCGCCCUCCCACCCUUUUUCUUCAAGGACUCAGAUUUCUCAACCAUGUAUCCUUUAUUGGUGAGAAGUCUCUUCAUUUUUUUUUCUUUCAAUGUUCUUAUCCGGUGAUUUCCCAUGAAGAUACUAACGAAGCUUCAAGUUUAUCAUUCUUCAUUCUUUUCUUCUCCGGUGGAUUCAAUUCAAGUUUUGUCGAUCAUACCCUUUCCUCGUUUCAAAUGUUUUCUCAUGCCGGUGCAACUCUUAAUCAUUCUUCAAGUGCUAUUCAAUUGUUCCGGAGUGCUGAAGAUGCCUCAGGAGAUUCAUGUUUUCAUUCCUAAUCCGUUCAAGCUAUUUCGAGGUUGUUAUCUCAUUCAACUCAUUUAAUUCAACUAGCGCUAUCUCUCUUUUAAAUCAUUUCAACGGUGUUUCUUUUGAGUGGGCCCUAACCCACAUGUCUUUUCCCAGGAUCUUACCUGACUCUUCUAAUUAUUCCGGAGCCAUUCCUAAUUCUUUUCAAAGUGUGACAUAAGAAUGGAUUCCAUCAGUCACAUGCCUUCCCCAAGACCGCUUUCAAAUUAUUUUCAUUGUUGGCUCAACCCUUCCUCUUUUCAUUCUCCCGGAGUAUCUCAGUAAUUUUGGUGGCGUUUCUAGUCGUCAUUUGAAGACCGAAGAAGAGUUCCUCUAAAUCUUGUCCGUUCUCUCAAAGAUUCGUGGUUCUAGCUUCAUGUUAUCCUCUCGAAUUAUUCCAUUUAUCAGAUAUUCUUUUCUUAUCCAUUCGGAGUAUGUCAGGAGUUGUUUUCCGUUUCAUUUCACCGGAGGCCAUCAUUCCAACUACCGUUAGCCAAUUAUCUCGGCGCUUCUGUCAAGUAUUCUUUAAUCAGCUCGUGAUCUCUUCAUUCUUUUGCAUCUAAAUUCCCUCAAGCAUAUUUAUUCCUCUAAUUCUCCCGGUGAUUCAUUAUCUGUCAUCAGUCAUUUUCGAAUUCUUAUGGUGGUUCAUUCAAGAUUCCUUUUCCUUUGUUUAUCAUAUCAAUUCAUUCGUUCUUUAAAAUCCUACCGGUGGUUCGUUGAAGACCUUCCUCAAGGUUGCGCCAUUUACCCCUUAAUCCUUUUCAACAAGAAUAAUUAGUAUGCAAAAUCCAUUGCUUCUCAUCAAUUUAAUUGGUGGAGGAUAAGCAUAACGUAAUUCUUAUUCUUCUUUCAUCAAGUUGAUUAAUCCCUUCCUUCGGAGUUUGUUCAUAAUGAAUAAUCUCUCGGUUCUAAGUGUUUCCACCUUUUAUUUUCCGGAGUUCAAAUUUCCUCGGCCAUUUCGUCGGGACCUCCAUCUAAAUCAUCACAAGGCUUUAUCUUGUUCUUUCCAACCUUUGUUUCUUUAAUCCUUUUGUUUACCGGAGUUCUUCAUGGUGGUUCUGCACGAUUUAAUUCAUUCUUCAAGAGUUCAUCAAGAUUCUUGUUGGUGGAGCUCAAGUAUUCUUCUUCUUGCAUCUCGAAGUGCAAUUAAUUCUCCAUAUUCUUUUGAAUUGGAGUUUUGCAUUUCUUCAUUCUUCUCUGAUAUUCAAGUAUUUGGUUGUGGCGGAGUUUCACCUCAAAUUUUGAGAGGAUUUUCCAUAAGUCCACAACAAGCUUAUUCUUUUGUUGUUGAUUCCUCAACAACUCCGUUCAAACCUUCCUUCUAAGGAUGCUAUCGAAUUCAUUCAUGGUGGAAGUUGUUGUUCGUUUAUCCGUUCUUUUCAUUCUAUUCUGUCAAUUCUUCUCGAGGCAUUGUGUUGUUCAUCUCGUCAAGUGCCAUCCCAUCUUGUGAAGUUCAUGUUCUAUUCCUCAAUUUGUCAGCCGGAGUGCUGCCGGAAUUCUUUUGUUCUUAUUCCUUUCCUAUCUUAUUCUAACCGGAGUGUUGCCCAAAUUCAUUUUUCUAUCCCUUUUAGCCGGAGUGGUUCCGAAUUCAUUCUUGUUCAUUGAGCUCAUGUUUCAUGUCUUUCAUCCUACAAGAUUCUCGUAAUGUUCCUUGUUCCUCUUUUCUAACGGAGUGUUUUCAACGUCGUUCAUCUCUGUUGUAUCCUUCCUUGCAGUUGUCUAACCUCUCAAGGUUCUUUUGUUUCACUCAGUUGUCCAAGAAGCAACUUUGUUCUUCCUAUUCCCCUUCCGUCUCGUUCCUAAGAUCUCGAGACGAGAUCUCUUGUUAGUGGAGGAGUGUUGUAACGCCCCGGAUCCGAUGCACCACGUGUCUUCCGUUUAUUCGUCGCUGUUGCCAUGUCAUUUGCUUGCGUGUUGCAUUUUGCCAUGUCAUCUUCUGCAUUGCAUCAUGAGCAUAAUGCCUUGGUUUGCAUCUUGAAGCUUUGUUGUGUGCUUGUUAUCUUUGUGAACUCCUUCUUCUCAUCUUCUUUUCUAUUUCAUCUUGCCCUUUCCAUCUAAAUCAUCAUCUAGUGCAACACCCCAUCACAAGCGUCUUCCUUUCAAUUCUCACCCAUUUAUUGCAAGUGGUAUUUUUCUGUCCCAGUAAAAUGUUCACUUACUUUCGGUAAAUCUUAAACCAUGCCAACUACCUCUUUGUCAAAUUUCAUCUCUUUUAAAGUUGUUUUGGUUGGGCUAAGAAUUUACUCAAGUUUGAAUCAAAUUCAAACUUGUUUAAAUUUUCUGUCUCUAAAAGUUGCCAAACCAAUUUUAUUAAAUCUUGCAUGUUCCCAGGAGCAUGAGGAUAUUCUUACAUCUUCCAAAUUCUUUCCCUAGAUCCCCUUCUUUUCCUUUUCUGAAAUCUGUUUAUUAUAAAAACAGAGAAAAGGGAACUACCUUUUCCUUAUCUGGGCGCUGCACUUGGGCCUUCCCCUCACCUUACAGCCAGCAGCAGCAGCCCCAGCGUAGCCCAGUCCGGCACCACCACAGCCCAGCCCACCAACCACCUCCCCCUCUGGUAAUUCCACCUCCACGUAACACAUUUUCACCCUGGCCCCACAUGUCAUCCUCUCUCCUUCCUGCUUUCUUCCUCCUUGGCAGAACUCCCUUGCUCACAGUAACUCCAGGUCACCUCGGCGCACAUGGCCGCCGUGGCAAGGCCGACUCCAUCCUCGCCAUCCAGCCCCCCCCCUAUUUAACCCCCGUAGCAACCCCUAGGGUUUCCCCUUCCUCCUCUCCCUCUUGUCCGCCACCGCCGCGUAGUUAAUGGCACCCAAGCGCCCUGUUGCCUCUGAAAGCUGAAUAAAAUUGUUGCUUAUUGAUGAUUUGCUGCAGCAUACAAGAGUAUAUAAGAGGGUACAAACCGACUUGGGGUAGGGGUACAAAACUGACUUGGACUAGAAGUCGUAUACCAUAAUGACUACUCUAACAUCCCCCCGCAGUAUCAACGGCAGGCUCGACGACGUUGAGACUGAAACAGAUAUCUUGAAACGGCUUAGUAGGCAGUGCCUUGGUGAAAAUGUCAGCAAACUGAGCCGUAGAGGGAACAUGAAGCACCCGAACCUGACCAAGAGCAACCUUUUCACGAACAAAAUGAAUAUCAAUCUCAAUAUGCUUUGUGCGUCGGUGUUGAACUGGAUUGCUGGUCAUGUAGACUGCUGAUAUGUUGUCACAGUAGACAAUAGUGGCCUUCUCAAUAGGCCUGUGUAGCUCGGAGAGUAACUGCCGAAUCCAGAUUGUAUCUGCAACGGCAUGUGCCACAGCGCGAUACUCAGCCUCGGCCAACGAACGUGAGACUAUAACCUGUCUUUUCAAAGACCAAGAAAUCAAAUUGUUACCAAGAAAAACACAAAAACCGGAAGUGGACCUUCGAGUGUCAGGACAACCAGCCCAGUCUGCAUCAGAGUAUGCGGUAAGCGAGUUUGGAGAAGAAUUAUUGAGGUGGAGACCAUGAUUGAGAGUUCCUUUUAAAUACCGAAGAAUGCGUUUAACAUGAUUAUAGUGAGGAACCCGGGGAUCAUGCAUAUAGAGACAUGCUUGUUGAACAGUAAAAGAGAUUUCAGGACGAGUAAUGGUGAGAUAUUGGAGAGCACCUGUUAGGCUACGAUAGAGAGUAGGAUCGGAAAAGGGUUCACCGGUAGCCGAAAGUUUAAAACUAGUAUCGACAGGAGUGCGAGAUGAUUGACAGUCAAGCAUACCAGCACGAUUAAGAAGAUCAAGAAUAUACUGGCAUUGGGAAAGAAAAAGGCUGGUGGAAUCUCGAACAACAGUAAUGCCUAAGAAAUGAUGAAGGAGUCCUAGGUCAGUCAUAGAAAAUUCAGAUCUAAGAAGAGAGACAAUAUGAUCUAAGAACUUUUGAGAGGAGGCGGUAAGAAUGAUAUCAUCUACAUAGAGAAGUAAAUAGGCAGUGUCAGAAGUUUGAUGAUACACAAAAAGAGAGGUGUCGGAGAGAGAUGGAGUGAAGCCUAUUGUUUGAAUGAAGGAGGAGAAGCAUUGAAACCAAGCUCGCGGGGCCUGUUUAAGACCGUAGAGAGAUUUCUGAAGAAGACAUACAUGAGUUGGAAAGGAUGGAUUUUCAAAACCCAGAGGUUGCUGGCAGUAGACAGUUUCUUGAAGGGAACCAUGGAGGAAAGCAUUUUUAACAUCAAGUUGGUGAAUGGGCCAUGAAGAGGAGACAGCAACACUAAGAACGGUGCGAAUGGUGCUAGGUUUAACAACAGGAGAGAAGGUUUCUUCGUAAUCAAUGCCUUGUUGCUGAGAAAAGCCACGACAAACCCACCUGGCUUUAUAUCGUAAGAGGCUCCCAUCGGAGUGGAACUUUUGGCGAAAAAUCCAUUUUCCAGAAACAAUAUUGGUAUUGGGAGGACGAGGAACAAGUUGCCAGGUGUUGUUUUGAAGUAAAGCAUUAUAUUCUUCUUGCAUGGCAGCGGCCCAAUUGGGAUCAAGUAGAGCAGUUUUGUAAUUCUUUGGAAGAGAAGUGAGAGAUAUGGAGGUAUGAAGGUUUAGGCGGUCUUGGGGUUGAUGAAAUCCUGAUUUGGCCCUAGUACGCAUGCAAUGAUCAUUAAUCGGGGCUGCUGUAGGAAUAGCACGAGGGGGUAAGGUGGGUACUGGUGAGUCCGGCGCAGCGGAAGAGUCGGACGAAGGAGUAGGGCUGGGUGGUGGAGUGGGAGCAGGGCUGGGUGUUGGGGAGGGAGCAGGGGUCAGGGGUGUUGGGGACGUCUCGGGUGGGGUGAGUGUAUGGUUGGGAUUGGCUAUGGUGGGUGUUAAUGGUGGUGGUGAUAAGUUGUGUUCGGUAGGUAGGGGAGUAUAUAGUUGGAAAGGACGGGAAGAGGGGGUGUUUGCGGAGCUAGGGGUGUUGGAUGGUGUAGUAGUGCGUUGUGAGAAAGGAAAAAUGUGCUCAGCAAACGUGACAUGACGAGAGACAUGAACGUGUCCGGUGUGAAGGUCGAGACAGCGAUAGCCUUUAUGCUCGUCAGAAAAGCCGAGAAAAGCACAUGGUAUAGAGCGUGGUGACAAUUUAUUUGCAGAAGUGGCGUAGGCAUUGGGAAAACAGAGACAGCCGAAAACACGAACCGCGGAGUAGUCGGGGUGGGAAAGAAAGAGGGAAUAAUAGGGAGUAGUGUUGGGUUUAGUUUUAGAAGGUCGAAUAUUUAGAAGGAAGGUGGCCAUGUGUAGGACUUCAGCCCAAAACUUGGGAGGCAUAGAUGAUUGAAUGAGGAGAGUGAGAACUAUAUCAUUGAGGGUGCGAAGAGAGCGUUCUGCUUUACCAUUUUGAGGGGAGGUGUAGGGACAUGAGAACCUAAGCAGGAUGCCAUGUUGUAAGAAGAAAGUACGAUUUUUAAUGUUAUCAAACUCGCGACCAUUGUCACAUUGGAUAAAGCGAAUUGGGAGGAAGAAGUGAACAGACACAUAGCGUUGAAAAUUAAGGAAAAGAGAAUGGACCUCGGAUUUGUUGCGUAGAGGAAAAGUCCAGACAAAGUGGGUGAAAUCAUCUAGGAUAACAAGGUAGUAUUUAAAACCCGAAACACUUGCAAUGGGAGAGGUCCAUAAAUCACAAUGUAUUAAUUCAAAGGGAUAAGUGCUACAAGAACUAGAGGAACUAAAGGGAAGACGCACAUGUUUGCCUAAUUGACAAGACUCGCAAAACACAGAAUUAUGAGAGUCCCUAUUACAUGGUAUGGUAAAUUCACUAAGCAUAGAAGCUAAGACGGCGGGGUUGGGAUGGCCCAGGCGACGAUGCCAGAGAUCGACGGAGGCCAGCAUGGAUGUUGGAGGGGUGACGGCAGGAACUCCAUUAAGAGAAUAAAGAUCACCAGAGCUAUUGAAGCGAGCGAUCUCGGCCUUGGUCAGGUAAUCUUUCACAGAUAAACCAAAAGGGUCAAAUUCAGCCAAAAAUAGAUUGUCGCAAGUAAAUUGGCGAACAGAGAUAAGAUUUUUAAUGAGGGCGGGUGCAACUAGAACAUCGCGAAGUAAAAGAGGUUUGGUGGAAGAGGGAAGUUGAGCCUGACCAACACAAUAUAUAGGAAUAGAUGAUCCAUCUCCAAGGAUAAUGGAAGGGAAAGGAGAUUUAGUGCAAGAAGAUAACCAAUUACUAGAUGCAGACAUAUGACUAGAAGCCCCUGAAUCAAAGAUCCAAUCCGUACCUGAGUUUCCUUGUGCAGCAAAGUUAUUCAUGGCCUGGAGAAAGGCAGUUUGAUCCCAGCUCGGUUACGCAUACUGAUGAUUCAAGACACAUAUAUAUCUAGCUAUCAAGUUUCAUCGGAAUAGAUCAAAUAAUUAAUGGGGGAGGAGGACAUGUCAUUUGUGCUCACCCACGAACGAAGGGGCAGAGCUCGUCAAACGCACGGCGAGGUCGUCGAACACCAAACCUCGCAGCGAUGAAACAACUGCACAUUUAAAACUACCCGAUCAACACAAUUUAAAACUACCCGAUCAACGGCAAAGAUUCCAACUGGCGAUGAGUGCGGCCCGGCCGAGAGAGAGCUUCUUUGCCGUCAGCUAGCAGACGGCAAAGAGCUGGCAGACGGCGGCCUGUAGAUAGGGUUUUUGCCGCGGUAGUUCGGAUUAGGACGCCAGCCUGGGGGCGGUUGAGGAUGGGUGCAGGGUAAUUUUGUGGAGCUAUGGUGAGGGCCGAGAGAGAAGCGGCCGCGGCGUUGGCAGCCUUGGCGAUGAGUGCGGCCCGGCGCUCGAAGUAGCCGGGCGGCGGCGGCGGCAGUGGCGUUGGCGGAGCCAUACCCUAAACCCUGGGACCGGUAUCUGAUACCAUGAAAGCUGAAUAAAAUUGUUGCUUAUUGAUGAUUUGGUGCGGCAUACAAGAGUAUAUAAGAGGGUACAAACCGACUUGCGGUAGGGGUACAAAACUGACUUGGAUUAGAAGUCGUAUACCAUAAUGACUACUCUAACAGCCUCACUUCUGAUCGCCAUGGCUGAGGCGAGCCGGAGCUCUCCUCCGGCGUACGAGCUCCAAUGCCGGCCCCUUCUUCCUCCACGACCCCGUUCCCGCUGCGAUCCAAGGCUGGAGACGCCAAGUUCCUCAGCGUCCUCUUCCUCUGCUUCAUCUUCUUCAUGGUUCAGAGGAACGCCAAGUUCCUCGUCGUUGUCUUCAUCUUCUUCAUCUACGGCAGGUGCUCGUCGCCGGUCAACUUCGUCGCGACCCCUCGUUCCCGAGCUCGAUCGACUCCAGCAGCACCCCCUCUGUGAGCAGCCGCACCUCCUCACCUCUUUCCGCCGUCGUUUCCAUCAUCGUAGUCACUGAUCCGCGCGACCCCGAGUCGUUCCGUCAUGGAUGGGCUCGAGUUCGAGCUUGUGCUCGUGCGCCUCGCUGCACACCGCUCAUGUCCUUGCACGCACACCACGCUCCUCUUCGUCCUUGCACAGAGGCAGGACCCCGCAGCUUGCCUCGUCGUGCUUCGCCGCCAUGGCCUUGAUCUCUGAAUUUUGCGCACGCGAGAACCUACACUCAGCGCCUCCACACAUGCACGCUGCCUCCCGUGAGACACCAACGCGAUGCCCGCGUCUCCCUGUUUCUUGCACCACAUCACUCAUGCGCACACCCCCAGGUCCUCGCCCGCGCUUCCUGCCUUGUCUCGCCUUGCGUGUGGUUUCUUCCCUGCCUUGCCGCGCCAUGCCAUGGCCCGAGCCGAGCAACGCUCGAGCUCGAGCGCCUCUGCACCCCUCCUCGUGGCUGAGCCUCGCAGCAGCCUAUCCCACACACCCGCAGUUGCCUCCUGGACCCCGCCGUUUCACCGUUGCCCGCUGGUGCAGAUCGGUGUCUUCUCUGUUGCAGAGGAGAAGAAACCCCAUCCGUCGUGGGGCUAGUUCAAAGAAAGCCGUGCCCAAUCCCUGCAACAGCAGUAGCAGCAGCACAGUGGAUCGAUCAAUGGAGUUCUACCAGGUAGACCCCGGUUCGAAUCCCCUUGGGGACAUAUUUAGAACCGCAAUUUUUGCCUCUGUUGCUUCUAUGACAGUGGACCCCAUUUGUCACCCUCUCUGCAGACAUACCCUCUCCGCACCCACACUCCUACCACCUCAGCACCACGGGCCCCCUCGUCAUUGACAGUGGCUGGCCCAGCUCGUGUUCCCUGUCGUUUAAUUUUCUCUUGCAUAUUCACAGAAAUGCCAUUAUUUUGGUUUGUUAAUAACUAAAAAUCCAUGCAUCCAAAUGAAACAUGUCAUAUAUGCAUCUUGCUCAGUUUUCCAUGUAGUUUCACUAUAUCCAGCUUUUAUCCAUGUUUAAAAUGUUUAAACUUGCUAUUUGAUUAAAUUUGCUCAAAUAACAUGUUAAAAUGGUUUAUUUCAUAACUAAAUAACCGUAGCUCCGAUUUAGAUAAAUUUUAUAUGUAAAUGGGGUAGGAUAAUGCAUAGAUUAACUUGAUGCACUUAUUUUUCAUGUUUAACAAUUUUAAAAUUGUGUAUAGGGCAGAACAGUAGCAAUUCGAAAUAGGCACAUGGGGAUUUUCCGGAAUUGUUGUUUGUUGUUUCCGGCCUCAUUUAAAAUUGCCUAGAUACGUAGUUUUGUUAUGCUUCACCCCUUGCCAUGUUUAAUAACAUUUAAUAUUGUUGGGUGCAUAAAUGAGAGAGAGCUAAAUAAUUGAAUGUGGUGUUUCGUCAAUAUGCAACUCGUUGCCUAUUGAGCUCCACUUAAUUUGUAGUAUUGUUUGUUGCAUUUUCCCAUGCCAUGCCUCAUUUAAACCGGACAUGCAUCAUACUUGACAGUGCAUCAUGCCAUGUUUAUGAUUGUGUGUUUACUAUGUUGUUUGUUUCUUUCCGGGUUGCUUCUCUCGUUAGCUUCGGUUUCUUUCCGGAGUUGUGAGGAUUCGUUCGACUCCGUCUGUUUGUCUUCUUCAUGGACUCGUUCUUCUUCCUAGCGGGAUCUCAGGCAAGAUGACCAUACCCUCAAAAUCACUUCUAUCUUUGCUUGCUAGUUGUUCGCUCUAUUGCUAUGUCGCGCUACCUACCACUUGCUUAUCAAGCCUCCGGCCAUGAACCUCUAACAUUUGUCACCCUUCCUAGCAAACCGUUGUGUGGCUAUGUUACCGCUUUUGCUCAGCCCCUCUUAUAGCGUUGCUAGUUGCAGGUGAAGAUGAAGUUUGUUCCAUGUUGGAACAUGGAUAUUUUGGGAAUAUCACAAUAUCUCUUAUUCAAUUAAUGCAUCUAUAUACUUGGUAAAGGGUGGAAGGCUCGGCCUUAUGCCCGGUGUUUUGUUCCACUCUUGCCGCCCUAGUUUCCAUCAUACCGGUGUUAUGUUCCUUGAUUUUGCAUUCCUUACGCGGUUGGGUGAUUUAUGGGACCCCCUUGACAGUUCGCUUUGAAUAAAACUCCUCCAGCAAGGCCCAACCUUGGUUUUACAUUUGCAUCACCUAGCCUUUUUCCCUUGGGAGUCGCGCUCCCGAGGGUCAUCUUAUUUUACCCCCCCCCCCCGGGCCAGUGCUCCUCGGAGUGUUGGUCCAAACUAGAGCCACUUGCAGCGCCACCUCGGGGAAACUUGAGGGCUCGUUUUAGUUGUACGUAGUGUUCAUCCGGUGUGUCCUGAGAAUGAGGUACGUGCGACUCCUAUCGGGAUUGUCGACACAUCGGGCGGCUUUGCUGGUUUUGUUUUACCAUUGUCGAAAUGUCUUGUAACCGCGAUUCCGAGACUGAUCGGGUCUUCCCGGGAGAAGGAAUAUCCUUCGUUGACCGUGAGAGCUUAUAAUGGGCUAAGUUGGGACACCCCUGCAGGGUAUUAUCUUUCGAAAGCCGUGCCCGCGGUUAUGUGGCAGAUGGGAAUUUGUUAAUAUCCGGUUGUAGAGAACUUGACACUUGACUUAAUUAAAAUACAUCAACCGCGUGUGUAGCCGUGAUGGUCUCUUCUUGGCGGAGUCCGGGAAGUGAACACGGCUUUUGGGUUAUGUUUGACGUAAGUAGGAGUUCAGGAUCACUUCUUGACCAUUGCUAGUUCACGACCGUUCCUUUGCUUCUCUUCUCGCUCUCAUUUGCGUAUGUUAGCCACCAUAUAUGCUAGUGCUUGCUGCAGCUUCACCUCAUUACCCCAUCCUUUCCUAUAAGCUUAAAUAGUCUUGAUCUCGCGGUUGUGAGAUUGCUGAGUCCUCGUGACUCACAGAUACUUCCAAAACAGUUGCAGGUGCCGAUGAUACCAGUGCAGGUGACGCAACCGAGCUCAAGUGGGAGCUCGAUGAAGAUCUUGUUCGUUGUGUUGUUUCUGUUCAUGUUGAUCAGUAGUGGUGCCCAGUUGGGACGAUCGGGGAUCUAGCAUUUGGGGUUGUCUUCUUUUAUUUUGGUUCCGUAGUCGGACCUAUGUGUGUACUCUGAUUGAUGUAUGAUUUAUUUAUGUAUUGUGUGAAGUGGCGAUUGUAAGCCAACUCUUUAUCCCAUUCUUAUUCAUUACAUGGGAUUGUGUGAAGAUGACCCUUCUUGCGACAAAACCACAAUGCGGUUAUGCCUCUAAGUCGUGCCUCGACACGUGGGAGAUGUAGCCGCAUCGUGGGCGUUACACCACCCCAAGGUCUACCACUAGUGGUUGAGAAUCGCCUUCGUGGUGAUAUCUCAAAGAGAGAAUAGGGUGAGCCUUCGUGGCGUUGGUGUGCCUUCGUGGUAACAUCCACCUCUGUAAACGGUGACGUAGCUUCCCUCCAAGGAAGUGAACAUCGGCAUACAUCCUCGUCUCUCGGAGUUGCGGUUAUUCCUAACCUAGCUCCCUACUUGUGGUUACUUGUCUCUUUAUCUUUACUUGUUCCAUAUUGUGCUUACUUAUUCAUAUUCUUGUACAACUUGGUCAUCUUGCUUAGCUCAUUGUAUCAUCUUUGCAAUUGUUAGGCUCACCUUCAUAUUCCGCAUUAUAGCCUGAAAUUGCUAAGUAAGAAUUAAAAUUUGUAAUUGGACCUAUUCAACCCCCCCCCCUAUUAAAAUUUGAAUCAUCUUUAAUUGUUAGGCUCACUUUCAAUAUUGCCAUGCAACUUCCACCGUUCUGUUUUAUUAUGACACAUAUCAUCAUUGUCAUAUUGCUUUGCAUGAUCAUAUAGUUGGCAUAGUAUUUGUGGCUCCGCCAUCGUUCAUAUUUUUUAUACAUGUCACGCUAGAUCAUUGCACAUCCCGGUACACCGCCGGAGGCAUUCAUAUAGAGUCAUAUUCUUGUUCUAGUAUCAAGUUGUAAUUCUUGAGUUGUAAGUAAAUAUAAGUGUGAUGAUCAUCAUUAUUAGAGCAUUGUCCCAUGUGAGGAAAAGGAUGAUGGAGGAUAUGAUUCCCCCACAAGUCGGGAUGAGACUUUAGACGAAAAAAAGAGAGGCCAAAAG
rnacentral:lncRNA from 1 species